AGACGGUCCAGGCACAGUGCCUGCUCCCUAGGGGGCAGGCCCCCCAGACAACAGUGACACAGCAGAAAACAUGGCUCAGGAUGGGAAAGCACCUCAGAGGGGCCGGGUGGCCUGCUGGAGGAGGAGAGGAUGCCUGCACCAAGUCUUCAAAGAUAAGUAAAGCUGGUAGCAGAGAGUGGAAAGGUAGAAGGCACAGCAAAUAUAAGGCUGGAGGCUGGAAACAGCAUGAGGCAUGGGGAAGCUGGGCAGGCCAGUGUUGCUAGAGCAUCAUGUGGGAGCUGAGCUUGUAGCAAGGAAGCUGGAGAACCAGGAGGGGCCAGGUCAAGGGGGACCUUGAAUAUCAUGCCUAGGCGCUUGGCUGCUAACCUGUGGGUUGACCUAUAAGCUACCAGAAGGGUCAGGCAGAGCAAUGACAAGGUGUGUACCGGAGGACCCCUUGGGGGCUGUGGGAAGGUGCAUCAGAGGGGACAUCCUAAAAGGCUGAGGACCAGCUGGAAGACCUGCUGCCACGUCAGGGGAGAGGGGGGCCAGGGAUGGGAACGCGGGAGGGUGCAAGGCCUCAGACGGCUGUUCUCCUAUUGUCCAGGCAAGAGUCAUUUCCAGGGGCUGUGAGGAUGCCGUUCAGACUGUGCCAAGAGCAGUGAUGCCUUUGUGAUGCUAAGAGCUGGCGCUUUGACCCUCAGCCCGACAUGAGAGCACGCAGGGAUGGACAUGAGGCAGGGAGGCGAGGAGUGGGGCAGCCAGAAGACAGGUCCUCAUUGGUCAGCUGCCUGGGGGCACCAAUUCCCAUGGUAUUUAGAAUCUUCAGGGCCUGGUGGUCCUUGGCUCAGAGGACAGUGAGGCUGUGACAGUCUCUCUCUGCCUUUCACAGGGUUCACCUGCUAGGGGUUUCUGACAGCCCCCAAGGGGCAUUCGGCUAAUGGGAAUGGGCUUGGGCUCCAGCGGUGACCAUCUGCCCCGCUCUUUGUUUCCUUGGGGAGGGGGCGUACCGGAGAUGUCAGACGCAGAGCCACAUUCCGGCACAGGUUUCUCUCCAUCCCCCCUCCCAGGUCACAGUGUGGACUGACACCAACUGGGAAAGGCUGAUGCAAGCAGGGCCCAGCUCUGCAGACCCAGAAUUGGAAAUGAGAGACCCAAGCUAGAAGCAGCGGAGAGAGGCAUGUCGUUCUGGAGGCCGAGAGAGGCCAGAGGGCCACAGUGGGCCACAAGGGGCUCUGAGAAUGCUGGAGCCGCGAGAAAAAGUCUGGGUGAGGGAGGGAGGAAGCCCACUGGUCGAAACAUUAAAAUGAAACGGCCCUAGAUUCCAUAGACAGAGCUCAGCCAGGUCCCCGCACGGAGAGCAGGAGAGGGAAAAUCCGGACCCCUCAAAGCCACUCAUCACCCCAGGCUGAACUUCCACGAUCUGUGAGUUUCCCCAUCACCCCGUGUAUCUUCCGUCAGACCCCGUCACCCUGUGACCAACGGACAAAGCAGAUGGGGCGUGGUCCUUCCUACCUUCAGAUCCCGGGUUGGGACGCCCCACCUCUGGCUCCGUUCACACCUCUCCAGACGUGAGGGAUGGAGGAAGCCUUGCUGGCCCUCUAGGACAGCACCCCCAGAUGUGGGCCAGUGGGGUAUGUGAGAGGAUUUAGGGGGCACAGACAAGCUUUUUCUUAAAAAAUUUAAUAUUUAUGGAUUAAUUUUAAUAUGCAUUAGAAAAAUUACACAACUAGCCUGUAAUAUACGUGACUUGAUGAUACAGUUUAGAACGAGGGUAAACUUAAUUAAAUAAAAAGUGGGAGAUAACAGAUAAACAUGAAGUCGCAGUACAAGUGGGGCUGAUGUGGUUGAUACUGAACUUUGAAGACAGACAUUCAGGAAAGAUUGCCCCUGGCUGGUCCUUUCCUCUCUACCAUGCUUCAUGAAUGAGCCACUCGCCUCUGCUUGAAUGCUUCUCAAAAUGGGCAAAUCACUACCUAAUAAGGCAGCUGUGACCGUCUCUAGAUCCAGGAAGCCGACUCGCUCCAGCACCACAGUUUAGCCCCACAAACUUGCGUCAGUCGCCUGUGAUGCACCUCAUGUGGACUAGGCACUGGAAUACGGAGCUUACAAAGACGCAGCUCCGCCUCUUUGCCCAAGGGCCUUUGCCUCUUGAGCCUCCCACUUCCCCAGCUGUAGAGUGGGUAUAAUGCCCCGUUAAAUAAGGAAAGCCCCUGGCACAUGGUGGGUGCUCAGUAAAUGUUACUUCUCUUCUCCUUGACCCCCUCACCAUCUUCUUGUGCAACACAGAUACUGGAUUAGUGUAAUAGAAGGGGCAUGGUCUUAGGGACUCCCUAGCUAGCUGUGUGACCUUGGGUAGGUCACUCAACCUCUCUGAGCCUCAGCUUCGCCAUCUGUAAAAUGGAGAUAACGAUACCAUUCAUUGUGCUUUUAUGCAGGUAACAUGAGAUGUUACUUGCAAAGCUCCCAGCAUAGCAUCUGUUCAAACUUCCCCUUAAAAAAACUCUUCUUGUCUGAACCAGUGCCACCCUCUGUAGCCCCAUCUCAGGGCCAAGCUGCGGGUGAGGCAGACAGGGCAGCACCGAGGGAGGCCACCCCUCCUGGGACCUGCUCUUUCUCUCUGUUCUUUGUCUCUUGUGGUCCAGAGUCCUCUCCGGCUCAUCCCGGCCGCUGUUUCCACCCCACGCUCCCAGCCGCAGCCGGGCGCAGAGGAGGAAAAGACCCCACUGGCCGGCCUGCAGCUGCAUCCCUUCCUCACUCCCUGCCAUCACCCCCUUCUCUUCCUCUCCAGGCCUUCCUGUCUCCCCUCCGCAGCCCUCACUUCCAGACAACAGUCACUUUUUACAUGCCCUGCCUUCCUGGUAGGAGGUCCUACCUGUCCUGACUACAGAACCAUCAGGGCCCUGGAAAACCAUGAACCCACGAAAUCUGACCUGUGACACAUAAAACAGGCCACGUCCCUACCCAGCGGCUGUGAGAGCUUCUGCUUCUCUCUGCCCUCCCAACUCCCCCCACCCACCCCCCAAUGUCACUGGAGAUGAGCAUGCGAGCUCGUGGCCUCUCAGGUCCCCUGCUGACGACUUCCUUCUGUGUGCUGUGUGUGCCGUGGGCAGAAAGGCAGAGCGGUCCCCUCACCUCCUCAGGCUCUGGCACUGGGUCCGGCACUAGGGAUCCGGCCAGGAAACGUUUGUGGGAGGGACGGAGGGAGAUCUGAGCAGGGGACAUGGGCACCACGGCCAGCCUUCUUCCACUGCCUGCUGACAUUUGCUUUCUUUGCAAGCAGCUGCCUUGGGCAGUUCCAGAAAUGCACACAGGACUGUGUGGCCUGGGGCCUGUGCUCUCAGAAGCAGCAUCAUCUGCCAGGUCAAUGUGAAAUCCCCAGCCCUGGGCAUUCACGCACAACACUCAAGUGAUCUCAUGCAUUCCUGGGUGACAGCGCCGGGGCCACAGCCCCCAUAGGCAGGAGCCAGCGCCAGGGGCCGUCCCAGCAAAUGCGAGGUGGUGCUCUGAGAUCAUCGUCAUGAGAGCUGCCAUCUCUGCAACGUGCCAGGUCUGGGGCCCGUGGCCCACACGCACCUUCUCACAUGUUCCCCCGGCGACACCUGGGGGAAAUAUCCACGCCUCCAUCGUGCUGCGGAGAGAACUAAAGCACAGAGAGCACCAAAAAAAGGGGAAGAAAGAAAAGCAAGAACGUCUCUUUGUGAGGAGGAUGAACCACCGGGGGGAACGUGGACGCCCAGCGGGUUUGCCGGGACUCGUCUCGGGGAAAGUCAGCGGCUCUCUGCCUCCCGUGGGGAGGCUUCGGGACGGGAUGGGAAGGACGAGGGGGUGUGAGCCGGGUCAGCCUAACCCAGGUGGAAACAGCUGUGGCCCUUCCCCUCCGCAGCUGCACGGCCAGAGCUGGGGGAGAUGAACCUCACUUUGCGAAGGGCCUCUGAACUUCCAGUCUAACCAGCGAGGGAAAGAAGAAAACCCAGGGGGGGGGGGGGGGGGGGGGGGCGCUAAAUGACCACGUGACCCGGGAUGCCGACCCCGGGGGAUUCCAGCCAGAUCCUCAGGGACUCAGAAGGAAGCAAGGGCUGGUGUCUGCCACCCUCCCCCCCGCCCCCCAGAGGACUCGGAGGUUGGAUGUCCCCGGGGAGAAGGCAGGGCUAGGGUGGGCGGAGGGCAGGGGCCGGGUACAGAUGGAGAGAUGGAGGCCGAGGACAGGAUGCUGGACACUGGCUGUGAGGAUGUGGGUUCAAACCCUGCUCUGUGCUCAGCCCGGGCCGCUUGAGGGCGGGGCAGACCCAGUGUGGAAGGUGCUGUUCUGGGCAAGAGAUGCUCGGGGUGGAAGAGACGCCCCAGGCUGGUUCUGGAACAGAGAACUGGAGACGGGCAGCCGGACGGAGCAGGAACGGCCUCUCUAGCUUUUCAGCUGUACAGCCUGGGAUCCUCUUUUGUAAAAUUAUCCGGUGUUGGUUGCUUUUUUCUGUCCAGUGAGGGCUCCUGGUUCCUCUGAUCAGAGAUGGUACCCGGAGCCCUAGGCCUGGCCGCUGAAAAUCCUCCAUCCUGGGCCAGCGUGAUUGGGCCAAGGAACGGGCACGUGACCACGCACGACCAAUCGGAGCCCUUCCCUGGACCGAGCCCCGGCCCCAGGAGAAAGAGGCUCUCCUGCCCGUGGCUGAGCAGGGGCUCCCCAGAGUCUGGGUCUUGGCCUCCAGGAAAUGGCACAGCAGCAGGAGGAGAAAAACAAGGCCGCCGGCAGAGAGAGGAAGGGACGGGCCGUUGACUGGCUGGCACCCACAUUGCUUCCUGCAGUUCUGGGCCUUUGGCAUUAGGCUCCUCGGUUUUCCCUUAAGGCCCUUUGAGUUGGCUUCUGCCUCUGACCAUUGAGCCAACCUGACUGAUCAGACUGUAGCUGGGAUUUCGCAGAGGGCAAAGCACCUUGGGAAGGGAGAAAGGAAAGAACCCUGAUUCUGCGCCUGCUGUAUAUUAGGCACCACGCCGGGGGAUCUGUUCCAGCGCUCAUAACCACCUUGGAAAUUAAAUAUUAGUAUUGCCUGCAAAGAGCCUGGGGCACAGAGAAGCAAAGUCACUUGCUCAAGGGCACACAGGCAGCAAAUGCCAGAGAUGCCCAGCCUGUGCUCCAGCCACAGCUGUUCCCCAGGCGUGCCGGGAGCUCUCCGGGUGCUGUGCCAUGCCAGGCUCCUGGUGUUCCUUCUGCCUGGAACGUCCUCCCCUCCUUGUCCACCAACUUAGCUGACAUCUUACCUUUCUCACCUUAGUUUUCUGUGACUCACAAUAUGCCCCCCCCCCCCCAACACACACGUGCCUGGCCCUUAACCCAGGUGCACUCUGUGCUCCCUGCCCUGGUCAAGGUCGUCGAUCCUGGAGGGAUGUGCAGGACUACAGCGGGAUUACAGGCCCCAUGCCCCUCCCUGCACAGACUCAGAGCCGCAGCAUCCCUGUGCGGCCCAGGCGCUUGGCCACCCCGAAAGAGGGUUUGACACAGUCAUUCACUUCUUUGCCUUUAAAGGAAAUGCCAGUAAACAGCUCUUCUGCUCUGACCCGAGCACAGACGGCGGGAUUUGAGGCCCUCGAGAGAGGGUGUCUGCAGGUCAGGGAGCCUCUGAGAAGUCUCCCGGUCACUGCGCGCGAUGAGAGGCUGCCCUCGGGUGGACCCGCAGCCGGCCUCCCCGCCCCCCCCCGGGCUCCAGCUGUUUUGAGAGUACAGAUGGGAUGGGUCGGGGUGGGGUCGGGAGAGAAAGCAGAUCCCGAACCUGGGGAGUGUCUCCCGCACGGCCAGGGCUGUAAUAUGCUGGCCCCCGAUAGUUCCCUGAGCAAGAAAAUUUCAGCCAAAAACCGGGGGACUUUUCCAUCUGGACAACAUCAGAUUCCUGUCUCAUUCAGGCUCAACGUAAACAAGGUGGGGCGGGAGUGGGGAGCAUUGGGUGACGAUGUGGGAGAGGGCUCGUCUCCAUCCCACCCCCACCCGCUGGGACCAGGAGCAGCAGCUCCCCAAGCCGAGCCCCAGAGCCGCAUCUCAGAGGGCGAGCCGGGGACCAGAUGCUCAGGAAGUCCCUCCCAGCUCUGCCCAUCGCAGCACCCACGGUGUGAAGGGGGCAACCUCACCAUGGCCGGGGGUGUGGGUGGGACCUCCACCAAAUUCCUGACCAUAAACCAGGCAAGCUGAGGCCUCAGCGAAGACUGGGACAUUGAUCUUUGUUAGGCCACCUCAAGAACACCCACCAACCAGCCAGGAUUCCAGGAGCCAGGUGGUCCUGCGUGAAAUCCCAGCUCCCCACCCUGUUGCUGUGUGACCUUGGCCCCCUGAGGCUGAGUCUCAGUUUCCAUUUCCGCCCCCAGGGUUUCCCAGGCCCCACCGUGGUCAGGGCCACGUUAUGACUUGUGUGGGCCCCGGGCACUUUGUCUUCCUGGCCCCUUACUCUAUAAAAAUUUACUAAAAAUGAUACCUUGGGACUGCAUUGGUAUAAAGAUGAAUGUAUUCAAAGUAGAUUAUAUUAAUUAUUUUUUAUGAUUUUACAAGAAAUGAGCACAUUUUCUUGGGCCCCUGAACGUCUAAGUGGGCCCUGGGCAUUGUGCCGCUGGUGCCUAGUGGAUGCCAGCCCUGGGUCCUGUGAUGUUUCUGACACACAAUUGUGCAACCUCAUAGCAGCUACUGAAUCGAGCUUCACACACCCCAGGGUGCACCCCUCUUUCUGACCAUCUUUGGGGAAGCCCUGUUGAGAUCAGCGUCUCCCACAGUGGGUUGGGGCUUGGAGACUGGGAGUCCCCGGGGGGUGAGGGGCUGGAUUAGGUCAGGUGAGGCUGGGGCCUGCUGAUUUUCAGUGCAGUCAGAUCCAGGGAGCCGGGUGGCUUGUGUUCCGGAGAACUGGGCAUCUGACUCCAGCACAUGUGG
rnacentral:lncRNA from 1 species